UUGCAUAUUUAAGCAAUCGAUAGAGUGUGAAAUGGAUGAUUCAGUUCCAGUUUUGGUCGCGUUAUUUGGUUGUAUGGCUGGUUAUUUCUGAGAGUUUUUUGUAUUUCCUUGAGCCUUAUGUCUUUUCUUGUUGAUGAUCUGGUUAACCUUUCUAUUGCCCAUCUACUCUUAUGUAUUUUCAUGAUCUUGGGAUUGUUUCUGAAUCUAGUUUGACGCAGUUUGGAGAUAGAGUGUUUGAUUGCUCUUGGGAUUAUUAAAUUUCUGGACCUGAUUUGAUGAAGUUAAUUUUUUAACAAAGCACCCACGUACUCUAAAAAUACGAUUGACGAGCUAAGGGAGAGAUGGAUCUAAUACGUUACCGAAUAUCACCAACCAAAUUACGAAGAUGAUGAUAAUGAUGAUCUAGUAGUCUGUUCCUGCUGCAGACGAUGUUGCUGCAGACGAUGUUGUUGCUGCUGUUACGGUCCUGUUACGCUGCUGUGACGCUGCUGAUACUCGGUUGUACCUGCUGCAGACUCUGUUGUACCUGCUGCAGGGGCUGCUGUUGCUGGAGAAUUUGAUCGCUGUUGCUGUUGAGUUUUUUAUUUUUUUUAUUUUUACAGUGAUAUUGGAUUUCUAUUUUUGCCGUACCUUGGGUAGAUUUUUUUUUUCCGUACCUUGUGUAGAUCAUUUAUUUUGUUAUUGAAUGAAUGAAUAAUAUUAUUUUGUUAUUGAAUGAAAGGAUUUUUGGAAA